rnacentral:lncRNA from 1 species
UUAUACUCGUAUGCCAAUUAAAACAUAUUUUACCAUUCAUCAUCUUCUCCAACGCACUUCUAUAGAACAAAAAACCUAACCCAUAUGAUUAGAUUAUUUUUAAUCCUUUUCGAACUAAAAGUAGUAUAUAUAGAAAUUGAAUAAUCAGUGGUUUUGAAGGAGGAUUUCACAGUCACCAAUGUACUAUUGAAGUUUACAAAGUACUUGUCUAGUAAUGCAAGGUAAGGAAAAUUGAACUUUCUCUUUAUUUGCUUUUACUUAUUUGUUUAUUUCAACCAAGUAAAUGAUGAUAUACUAAUUUGCAAGCACAUGGCUUAAGAAUUCGUCCAUGGGUUGCAAGUUUUCAAGGGCUUUGGCAAAUGUUUGUGGGUUUUGUUUUGUGUUUUUUAUUUUUUUAAUGUUCAUGAUAAAUUUUGUCCAGUGCUUCAAUUGAUUUGUGCAUAUAUUGAAAAAUGGGUUAGAGAUUGAUAUUAGGAUUUGGUGGCAGUAGCAGAUCAAAUUAAAGGAAAAUAAUAAGAUUUUGAAGUAGACAAAUUUCACUUUCCUUUAAAAAUUUCUUUAUAUAAAACAAUUUUAAAAAUUAAUGUACAUAAAGCCAAUCAUUUAUUUUAUUUGCUGGUUGUUAUAAUAUGUAUUGCUUAUUAAUUUUAAAGUUGGCUACAAUGAAUGGAUGAGGGUAAACCUAACAAAGUUAAGUUCCAGAGGUUUAUGCUUAGUUUUCUAACUUUGAAGAAUGGGUUUAUUAAGGGUUGCAAGUGGUUUUGUUGGUAUUGAUGGGUGUCAUUUGAAGGAGCCUUAUGGUGGAAUUAUGUUGUCAGUGGUUUCCUUAUAUGCAAAAAGUGACGUUUUCCCUAUUGUUGUGUGCAUUUGUGAGAUGAAGAGUUCAAAGACUUGGAAGUGGUUCCUUAGCAUUUUGAGGGAGUGGCUUGAAAUUGAAGAUGAUAUUCUUGUUACCUUUAUGAAAAAUAGGCAAAAGAGCUUAUUGGCUAGUUUGGCUGAGUUCUGGCCUAGAUCUACUGUUAGAUAUUGUGCUAGGCAUUUAUUUGCAAAUGUGAGGAGUAAAUGGCCUGAACAAGUGUUUAGAACUCUGUUUUGGUCAGACAUGCUUUGAAUCAUCUUGCAAAGUCUGAUCAUGUGACCAAUAAUAUGAUAGAGUCAUGGAAUGGUUAGUUAAAAGAGCAUAGGGGUAGUCCAGUGCUGACUCUCAUGGAUUAUAUUAAUAAUGAGGAGAUUGCAUAAGAGAAUGAAAAGGCUAUGACAUGGAAGGGUAGACUACCCCCUAAUGUCCAGAAGAAACUAGAUUUGAAUAGUGAAGAAGGAAGGACAUGCAAGGUUUUAGAGGCAUAUGAUUAUGAUUUGGAAAUCAUUGAUGAUGUCACUCAUGAAUCUUUUGUAGUUGAUCUAGAUAAAAGAAUAUGUGGUUGUGGGGCAUAUCAAAUUAGUGGCAUCCCUUUUUUAAGCAUGUGAUGCCAUGUAUUGCAAUGAGGUGUGAACGUGUUGUUUUUUUUUUUUUUUUUUGAAUAUUGUUAUACAGGACUGUGGGUAUUACAAUUAAUAUUUACAAACAGAUUCUACAAUUGGGACCUUCUUUGUGGCAUGUACUCCUCUGAAGCGCUGUCCAAAUUCUGCAAACCCUCUCAAAUAUUCGAGGGUUGUCCACUCUACUCACAUUUCGUGAGAAAUAGAUUGGCUCCACUCAAUUAUUUGAUAAUUGAGAAAGGAUUGUAAAUAAGCCCCAUAAAUGUUUUUAUGGAGGCUCGAACCCUUGCAUUCAUUAUUCUAAGUGCAAGGGUUCUCUCACUGGACCAAAGGCCCAUUGGUUGCGUGAACGUGUUGCUAAUUAUGUAGAUUCACGUCUAACAGUUCGAGCUUAUAUUGUUACUUAUUCAGAGUCUACAAAGCCUUUGCCAGAUCAAGCAAUAUGGCCUAGUGUUCGAGGACCUGAGAUUGAGCCACCAGAAAUAUUAGUGCAAGUUGGCAGGGCAAAAAAACAUGCAAGAGAAAAGGAAUUGAAUGAACUGCUUAGGAAAAGGAAGAAUAAGCAAACUGUCAAGUGCAUUAACUGCAGUGGUAUAGGGCACAACAAAAGGUCUUGUAAAAACCCUGUAGAAAGUUCAUUUCAGGUACAUUCUUUAUUUUGAAUUAUGUUAACUUAAAAUUUGAAAUUAUCUAUUGUAUUAACUGCAAUAAGUUACUUUAUUGUCUUCCUGUCAUAUGGUAAUGUGCAGGUAGCAAAGUCACUAAAUACCACUCAAUCUGAAAGACAAUCACAGUUACAGCCAUAAAGAGUAGGGAAUCAUAUUAAUUUGAUAAUGGAUAUGGAAAUGAUGCAUUUUGAUCGUAGACAUUUUUUAAUCAGACUUUGUGGGGCAUUUGAAUUGAGCUGAUAUAUCCAGGUCAUUUCGUUUGUAACAACUCAACUAUUGCAACAGCAUGUAACAGCUCAACUAUUGCAACAACAUGACUUGUUCUCGAAUAUCAUGUCUCCAUUCACUUUUUCAUGAGUAUUUGCCAUUGAUUUUGAACCUGACAAAUUUUAUUUCCAUGAAAUGAGCUUGAUGGAUUAAUGAACAAUGGAACGUGAUUGAAUUAAAAUUGAUUUUUCAUGGGAAAAUGCAAUCACCUAGCUAGAAUUAAUGGAUUAUAUUUUAAAAUAUUGCAAUUGGCAUCAAAAUUGUAAAAAUGGAUUAUAUUUUAAGGAUAUUUGUGUGAUUAAAAUGAUUCACAAGGGUAUAGAUGUAACUUAAAAAUCUCAUCGACAAUGAUUCUAUAAGACUAUUUUUUUAAUUUCAUAUAGGAACAAAAUUGUAAAUCAAUGUUAUUAUCUGGAGCCACAUUUGUCACAUAUUUAUUUAUUCAAUUUUUUCAAAAAGUAAGUGCAACAUAAGGGUAUAAUAAUAAAUUUAACAUUUUCCAUCCAAACUAACAGUAAAAGUUAAUGGAGAGGGGUCUUGGUGCCCCUUGUAAAAAAUUUAGGGAUUCCUAUGAUUAUUUUUACAAAUUAUGGAAGUAUAACUGUCAUUUUUCUGAUAUAAAUAAAUACUUAUUCUCAUUGACUAUAAAUUAAAUAACUUAUAUUUAUUCUUUUACCAAAUAGCUGCUUUUCCUCUUCAAAAUUCACUUUUUUAUUGUAUACAUCUCCGAUAGUUUUCAUAUUACCUCAUUACAUAGCAAUCUAACAAACAAUGAUCAGCAUAUCACAAGUCAAAUUGCUCAACGGCUGUCCACAUCUUGAUUUAUCAAAGAUAUCAAUUGUAACACACACAGAGGAUCCCCAAAGUGGCCAUUUAAUUACCAGAACAACAAAAAAUAAAAUUGCAAAAAGAAUCUAAAAACCUAAUAAAUAAUGCGACAACUGACAACUGCUUGGAGAAGAUAACCAAAAAGAGAUGAAAAGAAAUGAAUGUGUAAAUGAGUGGGACCGUCACAUUCAACAUACAUUUUCACUUCCACUUUACUCUCUACUCGAGUCCUUUUCUACACACACGUGCGUCCUCACGUGGAAAGACUUGGAAGGCUACCACGGAAGCACAUCUCUUUCACUCGGUAACAUCUAUUUUUCAACCUUGUCAGGAUUGCACGUGUUACCCCUUCUUCUUUUGGUCCCACACCUUUUCUGCCCUUCGAAUAAUGCUAUGCAUGCAUAAAUGAUGAAACGGCCAACAUACUUUUAGCUUACUAUUUGAAACCACCAGGGUAUUUUUAGUCACAAGAAAUUCGAAUCUAAACUUGACAGUAUGAGAUGUCAACCAAUUGCAAAGUUUUAAAAAUACAGGAUGAAAUAAAAGAACAGAAAUGGAAUGUGGAAACAAUACAUGUACAUUUUGCCUAAUUUGAUAUAAAUGGAAUGUGGAAACAAUACAUGUACAUUUUGCCUAAUUUGAUAUAAAUGGAAUGUGGAAACAAACUUCAAAAUGUGUAAUAGACUAUAAUUGGAUGUACUUGUUACACCAAUAUUUAUUUAGUUUUAUCAUCUCAACUUGAAAUUAAUUGGUCAGGCAAAAAGAUUUUUUUUUUCUUUGAUAAAAAAUGAUGUUUUUAAAAAAGCUGAAGGGUUUUAAUUUCUAUCUUUCCACACUAUUCAAAUUCAAGUACCUAAUCAAAUAAAACUAUUUAAAAACUAUUUGAUCAAGUUCUUAGAGAAUAUUUUAUAAAGAAUUCAAAAGCCUAUUAUGACGACAUUAUAAUAUUUUACAUUUUCGUAUGUUGAAAGAGCAACAAAGGAGUGUUUCUAUUUUAUUUAUUAUGUGCAUGUAUAUCCUCCAUCUAAUAGAAUGAUCCCACGUAUAAAGAUACGCACAUAUUAACUAUAGAAGCUUAUAGGUCUAAUGGAUAUUCAAAAGCUAACCCAAGAGUAAAGAGCAUGUGCAAGUCUUAUAUACUUAAUCUAAGAUUUUUAAUCUUAGCUGAUGUAGGAAUUAAAUUCCCUAAUACUCUGCAUCACGUGCAAACCAAUAUUUAAUUAGUCCUAGUCAAAUGGUAAGAUAGUGUGAGUCCACUCUAAGAUACUAUAUAGAAGAUCAUGGGCAUUACGCUUAUUGAAAAAUAACUUUAAAACUUGAGAAUUGCCAAAACCUUAAAUACUUAAUCCAAUAUUCAUUCUCAACCGUUGUGUAUAGUACCACUUACAUUAACGAAUCUGAUUACACUCCACAUAUAAGGAUAUAUUUUUUCAAAGCAACAUUAUUCCAUCAUACCAACACUAUAACACUAUUAAACUUAGGUAGAAUUUCUUAUAUACGUUUUUACAAAGUCAGACUAAGAAGCAAACUUACAAAUUUGAUGGAUUUAUCAUGGAAGGGUAUGAGAGCAGGAAAUGGGUGGGCAGAUCGAUGGAGUGUAAAUAAAGCAGGAGAUGAAAUAUGAAGAAACAAAGAAAAGAAAAGAUGGAUGGUGAUUGGCGAUGGUGGGAUCCAAAGGUAAAAACUAAUUAAAGGGGCCGCACGAGCGGGCUGUGAGCCACUGAGAAUGGGAGAGCAACUGCUGCUGCAGGCACACGUUAUGUGUCGUACGAACAAGCUUGAACCCUUUCCUCCUUCAACUUCUCUUCUUUUUUUCUCUAAGGAUUCUCGCUGUCGGCUGACAUUUCCAUACAAACAUGGUCCCAUUUCCACCUUUCUCUUAUCUUUUUAACACUAUAACAACUACUAGUCGUUUUCCUUUAAUGUUACUGUUUAUAAUUAAUUAUGUGGGAGCAUGACGGUUUCGCCCUUAAAUUUUGGUUUCUUUUUUCUUUUUAGGACAUCUAGAUCCCUAUAGUUAAGAGAUACAGAUUCACGCCCCUAUCUGUUAGAAAAUCUUGUUUUAUUUUUAAUUAAAUUCGUCGGGCGAGCAAUUUAUUCAAAAUAAAUAAAAAGAAUUAUAACUUAAUUAGAGAUAUAAUUAGUCUUACUCUUACGAGAUAUCGUAUAAUAGUAGAAGAUCGAGAUUAUUAUAAAAGGACAAGCUAAACAAUUUAUGAUCAAAUAAACAUAUCACUAUAUCCAAGAUUAACCAGAUAGAUGAACAAAAUUACUAUUAUCCUAGAAAAUAUUAAAACACUGAGUAUUCAUCUUGCUGAUCAUAUCCUUGUAGUGAGCCAUCUAUUUUGAAGAAUCAAGAGAAAUUAAUUAGAGAAAUUAUCUCUACACCACUUUUAUUUUGUCAUUUGUACAUCUAACCAUAACAAAAUUUUGACAUGGUCUUUGCACCACCUUUAUUUUUAAACUUGU